GCGCUGAAAGCAUCUAAGCGCGAAGCCAACUUCAAGAUAAGAUUUCCCACCGUAAGGGUAAGAUCCCAGGAAGACUACCUGGUUGAUAGGUCGGAGGUGUAAGUGCAGCAAUGUAUGUAGCUUACCGAUACUAAUAGAUCGAGGACUUGACCAA
rnacentral:ncRNA from 1 species